rnacentral:rRNA from 1 species
UACAGAGGCCUCAAGCGUUAAUCGGAAUCACUGGGCUUAAAGCGUGCGUAGGCGGAUGUGCAAGCAUGUUGUGAAAUCCCAUGGCUCAACCAUGGAACUGCUUCGUGAACUGCGCAUCUUGAGGCAAGUAGGGGCAGCCGGAACGAUAGGUGGAGCGGUGAAAUGCGUAGAUAUCUAUCGGAACGCCAAAGGAGAAGUCAGGCUGCUGGGCUUGUUCUGACGCUGAGGCACGAAAGCGUGGGGAGCAAACGGG